rnacentral:rRNA from 1 species
UGAGGAAUAUUGGUCAAUGGACGGAAGUCUGAACCAGCCAAGUAGCGUGCAGGAUGACGGCCCUAUGGGUUGUAAACUGCUUUUGUAUGGGGAUAAAGUUAGGGACGUGUCCCUAUUUGCAGGUACCAUACGAAUAAGGACCGGCUAAUUCCGUGCCAGCAGCCGCGGUAAUACGGAAGGUCCGGGCGUUAUCCGGAUUUAUUGGGUUUAAAGGGAGCGUAGGCUGUCUAUUAAGCGUGUUGUGAAAUAUACCGGCUCAACCGGUGGCUUGCAGCGCGAACUGGUCGACUUGAGUAUGCAGGAAGUAGGCGGAAUUCAUGGUGUAGCGGUGAAAUGCUUAGAUAUCAUGACGAACUCCGAUUGCGCAGGCAGCUUACUGUAGCAUAACUGACGCUGAUGCUCGAAAGUGCGGGUAUCAAACAGG